GAAACGGCUACCACAUCCAAGGAAGGCAGCACGCACGCAAAUUACCCAAUCCCAGCACGGGGAGGUAGUGACGAAAAAUAACAAUACGGGACUCUUAUGAGGCCCCGUAAUUGGAAUGAGAACAAUCUAAAUCCUUUAACGAGGAUCUAUUGGAGGGCAAGUCUGGUGCCAGCAGCCGCGGUAAUUCCAGCUCCAAUAGCGUAUAUUAAAGUUGUUGUGGUUAAAAAGCUCGUAGUUGGAUCUCAGUUCGAGUCAGGUGGUCCACUUGCCAGUGGCUACUGUCCUGACUGGACACUUUACCGAGCUGUCCUAUGGUGCUCUUCACCGAGUGUCAUAGGCGAUCGGUACGUUUACUUUGAAAAAAUUAGAGUGCUCAAAGCAGGCCUAACGCGCCCGAAUAAUGUUGCAUGGAAUAAUGGAAUAGGACCUCGGUUCUAUUUUGUUGGUCUUCGGAAUCUGAGGUAAUGAUCAAUAGGGACAGACGGGGUCAUUCGUAUUGCGGCGCUAGAGGUGAAAUUCUUGGACCGUCGCAAGACGAACUAAAGCGAAAGCAUUUGACAAGAAUGUUUUCAUUAAUCAAGAACGAAAGUUAGAGGUUCGAAGGCGAUCAGAUACCGCCCUAGUUCUAACCAUAAACGAUGCCAACCAGUAAUUCGCCUGAGUUCCUUAAAUGACUCGGCGAGGGACUUCCGGGAAACCAAAGUCUUUCGGUUCCAGGGGAAGUAUGGUUGCAAAGCUGAAACUUAAAGAAAUUGACGGAAGGGCACCACCAGGAGUGGAGCCUGCGGCUUAAUUUGACCCAACACGGGAAAACUCACCCGGCCCGGACACUGGAAGGAUUGACAGAUUGAGAGCUCUUUCUUGAUUCAGUGGGUGGUGGUGCAUGGCCGUUCUUAGUUGGUGGAGUGAUUUGUCUGUUAAUUCCGAUAACGAACGAGACUCUUGCCUACUAAAUAGAUCGUCGGCUUACAAACGCCGACGAGACUUCUUAGAGGGACAGGCGGUGAUUCAACCGCACGAAACAGAGCAAUAACAGGUCUGUGAUGCCCUUAGAUGUCCGGGGCCGCACGCGCGCUACACUGAAGUGAUCAGCGUGCUUUUGUCAACCUACUCUGUCAAGAGUGGGGAACCCAAUGAACCUUCUUCGUGAUUGGGAUAGGGGAUUGUAAUUAUUCCCCUUGAACGAGGAAUUCCCAGUAAGCGCGAGUCAUAAGCUCGCGUUGAUUACGUCCCUGCCCUUUGUACACACCGCCCGUCGCUACUACCGAUUGAAUGUUUUAGUGAGGUCUUCGGACUGGCCGGUGCAGCUACUCUUGUAGUGGCAGCGCUGUGUUUGGAAAGAUGCCCAAACUUGAACAUUUAGAGGAAGUAAAAGUCGUAACAAGGUU
rnacentral:rRNA from 1 species